GAUGAACGCUAGCUACAGGCUUAACACAUGCAAGUCGAGGGACCGGCGCACGGGUGAGUAACACGUAUCCAACCUUCCCUUUACUCGGGGAUAGCCUUUCGAAAGAAAGAUUAAUACCCGAUGUAAAGGAUGGGGAUGCGUUCCAUUAGGUUGUGGGUGAGGUAACGGCUAACCAAGCCUUCGAUGGAUAGGGGUUCUGAGAGGAAGGUCCACCGCAUUGGAGCUGAGACACGGUCCAAACUGCUACGGGAGGCAGGAGUGAGGAAUAUUGGUCAAGGAGCGUUAGCCUGAACCAGCCAAGUAGCGGGAAGGAUGAAGGCGUAUGGGUCGUCUACUUCUUUUAUAUAAGAAUAGGUAUUAUAUGAGUAAGGAUCGGCUAACUCCGUGCCAGCCGCCGCGGUAAUAC
rnacentral:rRNA from 1 species